GAAUGAGGAAGGCCAUGAAGGGAUUCUUGUUUGUGCUACAUCACUCUUCACUGAAUUAGAAAACCACUUGUGGUCAAUGUCAAGUUGCCCACCAGCCUGCUGUAGUUCAUUUAGUGAACAGCAGGGGGCAAUAAGUACCUCAUGCACAUUUACCUAAACCGCUCCACCCCCACAAGUGUACACUGUAAUGCUUUCUCACAGAACGCAGAACGUCAUUCCAUCUGAUUCAUAACCAAACAGGUGACAUUAUACUUAGUGACAAAUGUAGGUGUAUAUAAGAAGAUGGGGUGAUGACAUUCUGUGACAUACUACACAUUUACCAGAACAGAAAGUUUAUUUCAACUAAAAGCAUUCUAGCAGGUCACAUUUGUCCUUGAAUCACCUCAGUCUCCAAAUGAAAAUGGAAACAUAGCCUCAACCUUGGUGUGGCUGAAAGAAUUGUCGUCAGCGUUAAAAUAAACUAUGUAGCCAAUAAGCUAAAGAAGCAAUCAGAACAAGCGACAGUAGUCUGGUGAAAAUGAAGCACCAAUGUGAAAGGGUAAGCCAGACAAUGUCAAAAAGGAGAAUGAAGACAGACCAGUUUAGAAAACAUCAGCUUUUCCCAGUCUACAGACGCACACGGCCAGUUAGCGACAUAGCAAGUUUGCACUGUAUCAGAAAAAGAUUUGUUUAUCUGAGAUAAAGGAGUAUCUACUGCAACUCUUCUUUUGAGCACAUCAUAAAAAGUACAGCUGUUCUCAGGAAUAAGGCAUCAUGGAUAGCUCCACAUCAGUGUCGAUUGGGAUAAGUGUGGCGUUUGGGAUCUUGGGAUUGUUCCUGCUGAUUUGUUUGGUGCAGAUCUGCUGCAAAAAAAUUAAAUGCUGCAAGUGCAAAAAGCCUUCAGUGAAAGACAAAAUUUUAAAGAAAGUCAGGAUAAAGAAUUUGCCUCCAUUUUCAAUCAGCAGAAUCGUUGAGAAGAAAUAACGGCCAUCUCAUAUAUCAAUGCCUGUAAAUAGUGUACAUGCAUCCUGAAAGAAUCUAAUUCAGUCCAUGAUUUCUUUAUUUACAACACUUGUAAUUGUAAUUAUUUCCAUGUUUUGAAAGCAUCUGUCAGUUUAUUUAUUAUUUCUGUGAAAAGUGUGAAUCAUGCUUCUGAGGUAAAGGUGUCAGAGAUGGGAUGUGUAUGAUUCAUAACAGGUUAUCACUUUCCCACUACAAUAGGGAAAAGCAGCACACCGUUUUAUUGAGAUCGCUUCUCUUAGUGUUUUUCACAUUCUCUGACUCAAAAUUUGUCUCCAUAUCUUGCUUUUCAAUCUAACCACAAAAACAUAGUGAAGCCUUCUUCUCAAGCUGAACCAUUUCCACAUAAAAAUGACUUCAAAGGUCACCAUAAUACACUGAUGAAAUACCAGUCUCUUCAGUCAUAGUAGAAAGAUCACAUCAUCCUCAUUGUGAUUUGCAGUGAACUCUUCUCGGGUGAUAUAUUUUCUGUUAAGCAAUAUUAUGUCUGUGAUGUCAAUUGGAUCUUGACUUCUAUAUCAUCAUAUCUGAUGUAAAGGAAAAUGUGGUCAUAUAUUAUAUAUAUCUUCUAUGAGGUAAAUAAAUGUAACAAAUCAUGUAGAAAUGUAGCAUCAUUUAUGGGAAAAGUCAUCAUUUUAUCAAACUUUGAUAAUUGCCUUAUUCUUUUAAACAACUGAGAAGAUAGUAUUCAAAAUACAUUUUAUAAAUAUCACCUGUCAAGUUUAUAAUAUAUAUUAUAUCAGCAUAUGAGAGUCAAAUUAAACUACUGGGACUCAUCUCAAGAUCACUCAUCUAUUGCCAAUAUUAUGAAGAAAAGGUCAGUCAAGUAUAGAAAAUAUUGAAAAUAUUCAAAUCAGGAUUGUCAGAAUCACAGUGCAUAAAAAAUCUCUGUCAAAACCAACACAUGCUGAACGACAUUUACUAACCCGGCAACAUUCUUCUACUUGAUUGGUGUUUAUUCUCUUUAGAAUGCAGUGUGAAGUAUCAGUUCCCUGAUCCUUCCGAUUCAAUUUCAGCGAGUGAAAAACAAAUUUAUACUCGCAUGUGUUAUGUAUUAUGUACGUUAUCGUCUCUGACAGACAGCAUGUUGAAGCCGCUCAGGCUGCCAUUUUCUCCCUCUUCUCGGAAAGCGAUAACGUAGUCAAAACAUCUGGUAGUGUGGGAUUUCCAGGAAAUGCGUGUACACACUGAACUCUACUUCUCGUAAAUACUUCCAUGUAUUGUGUAUGUUAUUUUUUGACAGACACCAAUGUCGUGAUAUUCAAAUGAUGUAGAUUUGAAAACAGCAAGUAUUCAGUGAAGUGAUUGAUGCUCAUCAAUGUUUUUACUUCCAAUAUUCCACCUGACAGUCAGCCUAAAUUUUUGACGGACGUGAUAACAUACAUAAAGUGUGAAUUGUGUUUGAUUUUUGGGUGAUUAUAAAGUGUGCUGGAGAUGUUCAAAAUGCUUUUUGUGUAGUUCAUUAUACCUAUUUUACAGAAUAAAGUUUAUUUUGUGGCUUAAAUUACGUCACUCAGAGC